UUGUCCUUGACAUACCCAGUGGAAUAAAUAAUCAAAAAAAAGCUCUUCUCUUCAGGUAAACCAUUCACCAGCCAUCAAGUGAGAACGAUUUUCAGGUACAUCACAUAGAGGCUGUUGAAUGGGAAGGUUGUUCAUUUAAGUUAAAUUCACGCUGAUGAAGCAGAUGUUUGUAGCAUUUUACCAGCCUCCAGGACCUUAAGCCUCCUGAAUGCCAAAGCUCCUGUUGUUGGAAACCUUGUCUAAGAAAGGAAAAAAUGAGCAUAUGUAAUUUCUGGGUGAGUUUACUGGCUUGUGUUCUCUUCAAAACUCCAUACAACUAUAUCUUGUAGAAGUCAACGUUACAUUUUCCUGCAGAGGGGGAUUGCAGAAUCUUGCAUAACAAAAGUCAGCUAAAGAGAAUUCUUUAUCCUUUCUGGGAAAAGCAGCAGCAUCUUAUUUGCAGGAAACCAAACAUAAACAAUUAA
rnacentral:lncRNA from 1 species